rnacentral:rRNA from 1 species
UUUUAGUUGCCAUCAUCAAGCCGGGCACUCAAAGGAGACUGCCGGUGACAAACCGGAGGAAGGUGGGGAUGACGUCAAGUCAUCAUGCCCCUUAUGACCAGGGCUACACACGUGCUACAAUGGAGGGUACAAAGAGAAGCAACCCCGCGAGAGCAAGCUAAUCUCAUAAAACCGUUCGCAGUCCGGAUUGGAGUCUGCAACUCGCCUCCAUGAAGUCGGAAUCGCUAGUAAUCGCGGAUCAGA